AGACGAAGGAGCAGAAGUAGUAGAAGAAGAAGAAGAGAAAGAGGAGAAGAGGAGAAGAAAACGAAAAAGGAAGAAGAAGAAGAAGAAGUAGUAGUAGUAGUAGUAGUAGUAGUAGUAGUAGUAGUAGUAGUAGUAGUAGUAGUAGAAGAAUAAGAAGAACAUGAAAAAGAAUAAGAAGAAGAAGAAGAAGNAGAAGAAGAAGAAGAAGACGAAGAAGAAGAGGAGAAUAGGAGAAAAAGAGGAAAAAGAGGAAAAAGAGGAGAAGAGGAGAAAUAAGAAGAAAAGGAGGAGGAGAAGAAGAAGAGGA
rnacentral:lncRNA from 1 species